AUUUAAAAUAACAUUUAAUACGUUUCUCGCUUCUCUCACAACUGGCUGAAAGUGGAAUUAAACAACCCUGCUGCAGGAUGCAGAUAAUGAUGUUGUCAGACCAACGGACGCAGUUUUGACUUUAGAAGUGGGGGACACAACCGGCAUGAGGUCCAGGGGGUCUUUACAGUAAUUACAUAAUAAAUAUGUCCGCUUGGUCCUAGUGCUCAACCAGUGUCUAUUUAAUAUAGUGCAAUACUGUUUGUGGACAGUAAAAAGUGCAUGGGACAAAAAUUGACUUCGGAAAAAAGUGUGUGUGUGUGUGUGUGUUGGGGGGGGGGGGCAUGUUCCCCCGUCUCCCCCGUAAAACUUUGCCCAUGUGUCAAAGGGCUGUUUUUAUGAAUGAUUAUUGGCAGCUCAGAAACAAUAAGACAAAAGGACUUAGCUACUUUUUUAGAUGGUUUGAGUCUGAAACCAACGAGUGCAGGCCUUGCAGAAUGUUCACUCUGGCUUUAGCUCUGUUGUUUUGGUCUAGUUAGCGCUCUCUUUGCAUUGCCUCCCUUACUUUUACUCCAGGCUCCACCGUGAAACAGUAAACUUCUUGCACUUUGUAUUGAUGGUCGGCAAACUGAAAAAGCUAGCUGCUAGCCUUUUUAUGAGCUACUGGCACAGUAAGCAGCUUUAGCUGUGAAGUGGCCUUUGCCUCUAGCAGAGGGCUACAGAGCGCUGCCCAAAGUGAAGCUGGUCAAGUUUCUGGCUUAAAGACCAGCAACAGCUUAAAAUGUUAACAACUCUUUAUUGUUCUUUCAAGCUCCUCCCGCCAGGUGCAUGGAUUUAUCACCUGAUUAGAUUUGAAGCAAGCCAGUGUCUCUAACCCUUCAAGAAGAUGAGAUUGGUCUGAGACAGAAGCUGCAGAUUUUUUUUGGAGAAAAUGGUAAACACUGUCUACAAUGAUGAGGAAAAGGGAAUUCAAGAUAAGGAGAGUAAGGAGGAGACUAUCUUGGCCAUGUUGGGCAUCAUUGGGACCAUUCUCAACCUGGUAGUCAUCAUUUUUGUCUACAUCUACACAACUUUGUAGCUUUCAAAGAACCUUUCAAACUUCAGUCCUGCAAAAGCAAAGCACACCUGUACUUGUGUUGGCUGGAAUGGAGAUGAAAAUGGGAGGGACGAGGAAGAGGAUGAACUUCCUGUGUCGUGCAAAGGAUUUCAGGCCACGCGACUGCCUUGUACCCUUUAUUGUGCAUGAAGUCAAACAGCUGAGACUGUGGAAAACUGACUCUUUCCUCUGCUGUUUACAGGGUAAAUCCUCCAGAGUAUUUGAUUGCUUUUGACUUGGAUUAAAAUGUAUGAAGAGGAUGAGAGAAGCUAAAAAUCUGGACUCAAAAGAGCUAUAGAAAGUGUGCAGACUUUUGUGAAGAAUAUUUGAUACGAAAAUGAUCUGAGUCGAUUCAGCGAGAGAGCAAGGAGAAAGAUCUGCUCUUAAUAAUUAAUUCAAUAUAUUUUGCUUUUUGCCCAUUAAAAGUAGCAAUGUAUGUUUUCACACAAUUUUAACAAAAUAAGAUAAAAAACUGUGGUUUUAUUAUUUUAUUUUAUAUUAUAUUUUCCUUCAUUUGAAUGAGAAGUGACUUUGAUUUUUGUUGUUUAGUGAUAACAAUCAAAAAGGUAAAUACAAUCAAAAAGAAGAGUUUCAUUUAAAGCUGCUUUCAUUGAAAUUGUUGCAGCUGACUGGUACUUGACUUUGUGCUUGACAUGAACACCAGUAGAUCAGACAGUUCUGCAGGAAAUGGCAUGGUUAUCAUUUAUUAUUCAAGGUUUUAAUACAUCUCUUUAACCUUAAAGGUUUUAAGUGUUGAAAUAAGAUUCACUCAUUUACAUGAAGAGCCCCUCCUGAGAAACAGAAAAUCAAAUUCAGGCUGCAGGAGUGUGUCAACGUGCUCGGUGAGGAAUUUGAUCGCACCUUUGGUCCUUUUUACAUAAAUGUACUUAGAUACUAAUACUUAUAAAAAGCUGAAAGUGACUAUUAUCAGACAUCAAUUUAAUUUUUUCAUUGCUGAUUUGUAACUUUUUAAAAUUUAAUUGCCUUAAAACAAAAGGAAAUACCACUUAGAAGUUAUUUUUAGGUUGUCAAAUGUUUCAUUUAUUGUACAAAUAUAAACGCCUCUUCUAGUGCAUUUACAAGGUAGUUUCAAAGAAGCACCCUGCUCUUGUCUGAAACUGUAACUAAGCAUUUUACUGGAAUCACGGUUAUUUUCUACACUUAUUUUAUAACAUAGUUUAAAAACAAAACAUGAAAUUAGUACUGUUAUUUGUGAAGAGGGUGACAGCUAACAGUGAAGGUAUAGAUUUCUUUCCAGUUCCAUUCAGAGCUGCUAAAACAUGAAUAAUAUAAAAUGUAGAUUAUAAAAGCUUUGCUGUCUUUAGAGACGGAGUUUUGUUUGUCCAUUCAGCUGAUGCACCGAUAAAACACAGAUGGAAACAUCCUGCUCUGCCUGAUUUGGAUUAGAAAUGAGGGAAAACAUGAAUUAUUUGCAGCUCUGCCUAGACGUCCCCCUUGGUGUUACGUAUCCUACAUGGCUGCAUGGUGGCGCAGUGGUUAGCACUGUUGCCUCGCAGCACGGAGGUCGCGGGUUCGAAACUCUGCUGCGGCCUUUCUGCGUGGAGUUGCGUGUUCUCCCCAUGCAUGCCUGGGUUUCCUCCGGGCACUCUGGUUUCCCCCACAGAUCACAACAUGCCCUAUAGGUGAUAAAUAUUAAGUGGCUUUGGAUGAAAGCGUCUGCUAAAUAAAUAAACAUAAACAUAUCUCCUGACUGUUUUAGAAUGUAGCUUUAAAUCUGCUGGUGCAAAACUCGUUAGCAGUUUGUGGUUUCCAACACUGAAAAAAUUAUUUGUUGUUUGCCGAAAUCCAAAAUUAUAACGCUUUGAACAAAAUAAAUAUAUAUUUUGCUGUUUUAUGGAAAGAAAAUGUCAAACUUCGAUACUGUUGAUUUUAACUACCAAAUGAUGCCCCCCCCCCCCCCCCCCCCAAAAAAAAAGUCACAUUUAAUCCACCCAGGAGCCCUGCCUCUUUAACAGUGUUAGUCCUUUCAUGUAAAAUCUGCACAAUGAAUCCUAUUCAUGUCUCCCGUCCCCUGGUGGAGGACAAAGGCAAAGAUAUACUAGCUAGAGUAACAUUUUUCAUUAUUAACAUGGCUAAAUAUUGUAUUAAAAUAAUAAUAAUAAUAAUAAUAAUAAUAAUAAUACUAAUAAUAAUAAUAAUAAUUAUUAUUAUUAUAUUAGCAGAUAAAAGUUUUCUGACAUGCUUUAAAGAAUCAUCCCUAUACAGGAAUUUGAAGGUAUUGCAACAUAAUGCAAUUAUUUUGUGAGGAACUUCCUCCAACUCAAGCUGCUACAACAACUCCUGCCAUAGUUGCACAUUUCUUUUCACAGCAUCUUCCGACAGAGUCAGGAAUGUGUGAACGUAAUUUCCCCACUCACUGAAUAAAUCUACCGCUGAUUUAGGCGUACAAAGGAGCGCAGCAACCAAUUCUGUUUGUAAUCGUUCACUCUAAAGAAAGCAGUCAGGAGCCCCAGAAAUAGAAAUUCAUCCGUGCUUUCCCUGAACUCCUAAUAAAAAUGUCUGCAGUGAAGCAGGCCUGUUGAAAGAAUGAGAGUGCCCCUAGAGGUGGGUUUCAACAUAAAUAAACUUCUUUUAUUGUACUUUAUUGUACUAAUUAUCUGGUUGUUCAUUUUUUCCUCCAAGUUUUAAAACCAACCUGCCUCUUUCUGUACCUUCAUUGUUAGGACACGUCUGAUUGGUUUAAAAAACAAAUUCAACACAACAAUUUUAUAAAACAAAGACAAGAGCCGGUUUGCUGUAAAGACGAGGCAAAACAACAGGCAUCAACAUGUAUGAAAUUCUAUCUUUGUGUUUGUCUUUUAACAACUUUGUGAUUUCAGAAAGUGCCUGAGAUAAGUUUAUCUCUACAUCUUUACCAUAGAGCUGAAAACACAAAAGACAUGAUUAGAAAUAUCCCAAUCUACUCCGCUGCAACACGAGGACUGGAUUUCUACAAACAAGGCUUGUUUAAUAAAAACAGACUUUUCUAUUUUAUUUUAUUUCUUUUUUUAUUUUAUUUUUUAUUGUAUUUUAUUUUAUUUUAUUGACUCUGGUGAGGUGCUUCUGUGUUUUAAAGAUAAGAAAAUGAAAGUUUGGUAAGCACAUGGACACACGCUACGAAUGUAUUUAUGUAAAUCUUGAUUAUUUGUGUCAUCUUUUUCUUUCCUAAAGCAACGCAACGUGAACGUUUUAUUUAUGUGCAUCAAAAAUCUGUAUAAACGUCUCUUGUAGAAAGGUUGGAAUGUUUUUUCUGCUUGCAUUUUUAUUAUAAAAUAUCAAAUAAAGAUGUUUUGAAGUGA